rnacentral:rRNA from 1 species
AUGAACGCUGGCGGCGUGCUUAACACAUGCAAGUCGAACGAAGCACCUCUAAUUGAAGAUUGACGAAGCUUGCUUCUGAUUGAUUCGCCUUGAGGUGACUGAGUGGCGGACGGGUGAGUAACGCGUGGGUAACCUACCCUAUACAGGGGGAUAACAGUUGGAAACAGCUGCUAAUACCGCAUAAGCGCACAGCUUCGCAUGAAGCAGUGUGAAAAAACUCCGGUGGUAUAGGAUGGACCCGCGUCUGAUUAGCUAGUUGGUGAGGUAACGGCUCACCAAGGCGACGAUCAGUAGCCGACCUGAGAGGGUGACCGGCCACAUUGGGACUGAGACACGGCCCAAACUCCUACGGGAGGCAGCAGUGGGGAAUAUUGCACAAUGGGCGAAAGCCUGAUGCAGCGACGCCGCGUGAACGAAGAAGUAUUUCGGUAUGUAAAGUUCUAUCAGCAGGGAAGAAAAAUGACGGUACCUGACUAAGAAGCUCCGGCUAAAUACGUGCCAGCCGCCGC